CCAUUGUUUACCUAGAGUUAUCGUUAGUACUUUUUGCGUACAAUAAGGUACAAUGAAGGGAUAUUUUUUGGUGUUUACUGUCGUCCUGCUGUUCGCAGCGGUUGCAUUUGCUGAUCCUGUUUCUGAACAGGACAUACAGGAUGAAGGGAACUUGGAGAGCGUAGGCAGAGCAAUAAAGUGCCGCAUCCACGCUUGUAACAAAGGCUGCCGCAAACUGAACUACCAGCGCGGCGUGUGCGUCGGCGACAGAUGUCAAUGUCGUUAGGUUGGCAUUUAUCUGUACAAGAAAUAAAGUAUAUUGAGGUUGGGGAAUUAAAGUAGACAGCAUUACAUAAAGAUAAACAGAAUUAAAAA